AAACUGUCAAGUUGAGGCCUGA
rnacentral:siRNA from 1 species